GCCUCUGUGGAUCAGCCCAAGAUCACCUCUCCUAAGUAUUCGGUUCGCAAGUCCACUGCAAGAGGAGACGUGGGUUUGAAUCCCACCGGAGGUA